CAGCGCCGCCGCCGCCGCCGCUCUCGGUCCCAUGCCCGCCUCGUUGGAGAAGCCGGAGCCGCCGCCGACGACUCGGCGCGUCCCGGCGGGGGCGAAUCAGAGGCGUCGGGGCGGGCGCGGGGGCCGGCCCCGGCUUCGCAUCGUCGAAUGGCUGCAGUUGUCACCGGGACAUUACGUGGUUGUGAAUGGGAGGAGGACUGGUCUGUGCAAUCACAUCUUUGAUGUUCUUUGAGGUUUCCCAGUUGGAUGAGAUUAACCAGCUUUAUGACUACAGACUUCGCAUAAAACAGAUAGAGCCGAACAUCACCCCGACAGCUUGGGCUACGUGGAAUUUAUAACCUGACUGUAAUGGCAACCUACUUUUGCUUACUCACUUACGGUCUUACUGCCUUUCAUGUAAUAAUGAUAUCAGCUUACAGAUUGGCACAGGAGGAUUAAAGGCUACAGAUUUAUUAUCUUUCCCUAAAAUACUAUUUUUAGUUUCUAAUUACUGAUUAAGAACAUCAGGGUGCAAUCUUUCCAGCAUCUUUCACGUACACUCACUGCUGUGUAUUCAUCAUGCUACAGUACACUAGGUUUGCAAUCAGAUAAAACUACAGCAGCAAUGUGGGCGCUAAGGAACUAAGCCAGCACCUGCUUACUCAA